GAUGAACGCUGGCGGCGUGCCUAAUACAUGCAAGUCGAGCGAACGGACGAGAAGCUUGCUUCUCUGAUGUUAGCGGCGGACGGGUGAGUAACACGUGGAUAACCUACCUAUAAGACUGGGAUAACUUCGGGAAACCGGAGCUAAUACCGGAUAAUAUUUUGAACCGCAUGGUUCAAAAGUGAAAGACGGUCUUGCUGUCACUUAUAGAUGGAUCCGCGCUGCAUUAGCUAGUUGGUAAGGUAACGGCUUACCAAGGCAACGAUGCAUAGCCGACCUGAGAGGGUGAUCGGCCACACUGGAACUGAGACACGGUCCAGACUCCUACGGGAGGCAGCAGUAGGGAAUCUUCCGCAAUGGGCGAAAGCCUGACGGAGCAACGCCGCGUGAGUGAUGAAGGUCUUCGGAUCGUAAAACUCUGUUAUUAGGGAAGAACAUAUGUGUAAGUAACUGUGCACAUCUUGACGGUACCUAAUCAGAAAGCCACGGCUAACUACGUGCCAGCAGCCGCGGUAAUACGUAGGUGGCAAGCGUUAUCCGGAAUUAUUGGGCGUAAAGCGCGCGUAGGCGGUUUUUUAAGUCUGAUGUGAAAGCCCACGGCUCAACCGUGGAGGGUCAUUGGAAACUGGAAGACUUGAGUGCAGAAGAGGAAAGUGGAAUUCCAUGUGUAGCGGUGAAAUGCGCAGAGAUAUGGAGGAACACCAGUGGCGAAGGCGACUUUCUGGUCUGUAACUGACGCUGAUGUGCGAAAGCGUGGGGAUCAAACAGGAUUAGAUACCCUGGUAGUCCACGCCGUAAACGAUGAGUGCUAAGUGUUAGGGGGUUUCCGCCCCUUAGUGCUGCAGCUAACGCAUUAAGCACUCCGCCUGGGGAGUACGACCGCAAGGUUGAAACUCAAAGGAAUUGACGGGGACCCGCACAAGCGGUGGAGCAUGUGGUUUAAUUCGAAGCAACGCGAAGAACCUUACCAAAUCUUGACAUCCUUUGACAACUCUAGAGAUAGAGCCUUCCCCUUCGGGGGACAAAGUGACAGGUGGUGCAUGGUUGUCGUCAGCUCGUGUCGUGAGAUGUUGGGUUAAGUCCCGCAACGAGCGCAACCCUUAAGCUUAGUUGCCAUCAUUAAGUUGGGCACUCUAAGUUGACUGCCGGUGACAAACCGGAGGAAGGUGGGGAUGACGUCAAAUCAUCAUGCCCCUUAUGAUUUGGGCUACACACGUGCUACAAUGGACAAUACAAAGGGCAGCGAAACCGCGAGGUCAAGCAAAUCCCAUAAAGUUGUUCUCAGUUCGGAUUGUAGUCUGCAACUCGACUACAUGAAGCUGGAAUCGCUAGUAAUCGUAGAUCAGCAUGCUACGGUGAAUACGUUCCCGGGUCU
rnacentral:rRNA from 1 species